GGGGAAGAAAUAAUGAUGCCUGUCAGAGGAUCCCAGCCCUGGCCAGCCUGCAGAGCCAAAUGGGGGGCAGAGCGAAGCUGUGUAAAUUACAGAGGGCACUCAUUCUUGAGAAUUUCUAGUCUCUUCCAAACACAGCCUAAAUUCAUUUAUUAUCUCAGGCUCCUGAAUCAAAGCUGUGAGAAGGGAACAUGUCAAGAUAGCAAUGGAACAAGAUAAUGGGUGUAAAAUGACAAAAAACAGGAAACCUCUUCUCCAAUGAUUCCAAAUGAUGUCACAAAGAAAACAGAGUCUGUUAAGCAUGUAAAAGGCAACCAAAACUGCAGUUCAGCACCUAUGAAGUGACUUAUUAACUUUGCCUGCGUAAGGAUUCUGCCCUUUCCUUAUUUCUGUGCUGAAGUUACGGCAGGCAAAAUGGAACUGGAGGUUGAAUAAGCUGGAGAAUCCAGCACAGAAGCCAAUUGGCUGCAUGACAAGAAACCCAGGCAUUUGCCCGUCACAAGAAUGAAGCAGAAGAAGGAAAGGUGUAAGGGACAAAUAAUGUCUUUCUUAAUUGAUACCAAGGCUGGCCUUUAUGCAUUAAGAAGCUUAUAGCAGAAAGCCACAGUGCACAAUCAGAGGAAAACAGAAUGCAGCGGGCUUCUUUUCAGGCUCUCGAUCAUCAAAACAGCACAAGAGUAGAAAGGAAAAAAAAAUGCAUGAUGGUGGGAAGUCAAUCAGAGCCUGGAGUCUCUGUGUUGUGAAAUGUCUCCCAUUGUUUUACUUAUGUAGCAUACCUAUUGGUUUUGAAGUGCUCUAAUCUGUAGGGUGAAGAGCAGUGAAAUGAAGAGUCACUGAUUUCAAAUUUUCCUUUCGUCCAUUGAAGGUAAAAACAUAUUACUGAGUUUAGAAUCUCAACACUAUAAUUAUAUCUUUGGCAACCUGAACAGGCAUGUUAAAGUCUUAUCAAACUAUC